GAGACGCGUGUCCCGCGCGGACUUGGGGGGCCCCGCGCGCGCCCCUCGUCCCCUCCGCUCCCCGCGUGGGCCGCGCUCCGCCGGGCGCCUACCUGCGUGGGACAUGGUGACGGUGUCGUUGGUGCCGGAGCCCACGUUGAAGAUGACCACGGCCGAGGCGUUCUGCAGGAAGGCGUUGCGGAUCUUGUCCCGAACGGAUGUUUUCUCUAUAAGAAAAGAAACCGAGUGAGCUGUUUUCUCACUGCGUUUAUUCGGGUUGUCAAGCCUGGUGGUGUCAACAGGCAAGUGAGGUUUCUCUGCGUUUCCCUCUAUAGGGUGUUCCCGGGUUGGAGACCGGUAGUGCAGCGCCCGCAGAACGGCCUUCUCCAACCUUCUCCAAGCCGACACAGCCCCUUAACCACUUAAAUGCUUAGACGCUGCUGCCCUCCACACCAACGGAUUCCUGGGCUUGAGAGAAGUGCCAUGGAAGGGCUCGGAGAGAACUCGUGGGACGGUUCUUAAUCACUCUCACCUGGCAUUCUUUCAGAGGACCUGGGACUCAGUGCUGAAGACAAAAGGCCACAUUUCCCUAAGAUCUUAAUCAUCUUAGCCUCUUUCACCAGAAAGCUGGGAUGUGAGAAUGUAUCUCCAGGCCAAGACACUCAGAGGAUUGCCUGCUGACUGAUUGUAACAGCCGUUAGACACAAGCAGCUUUCAACUACACUUUGUCAGAAUUAUCGAAGGGGCGAGAAUCCAGGCCCUUUCCCAUCCUUGCCAUUGGGCCGCCAUUUGGAAGGACGCUUUUAUGAAUAGUUUCCCUUUCACGAUG